AGCACAUGAGCUCGAUGAACUGCGUCACAACAACAACAAAACCAGACAUGAGCUGCUCGAGUCCGGCCUGGAUAUGAGAAAUGUGUCCUGGUUCCUGGAUUGAUCAGUAUCCUGCUCUGUAUUCUUCUCACAAUACAGAGGUGGAGAAAAAAAGAACAAGCUGGUGACUGAAUCUAUAAACAGCCGACUGAGUUUCGUUC